rnacentral:rRNA from 1 species
AUUGAACGCUGGCGGCAGGCUUAACACAUGCAAGUCGAGCGAGCGGCGGACGGGUGAGUAAUGUCUGGGAACCUGCCUGAUGGAGGGGGAUAACUACUGGAAACGGUAGCUAAUACCGCAUACCAUCAGAUGUGCCCAGAUGGGAUUAGCUAGUAGGUGGGGUAAUGGCUCACCUAGGCGACGAUCCCUAGCUGGUCUGCGAGGAGGACCAGCCACACUGGAACUGAGACACGGCCCAGACUCCUACGGGAGGCAGCAGUGGGGAAUAUUGCACAAUGGGCGAAAGCCGGAUCCAGCCAUGCCGCGUGUGUGAAGAAGGCCUGCGGGUUGUAAAGCACUUUCAGCGGGGAGGCGUUACUCGCAGAAGAAGCACCGGCUAACUCCGUGCCAGCAGCCGCGGUAAUUC